rnacentral:rRNA from 1 species
CACGUAGGGGGCAAGCGUUGUCCGGAUUCAUUGGGCGUAAAGAGCUCGUAGGCGGUUCGAUAAGUCGGGUGUGAAACCUCCAGGCUCAACCUGGAGACGCCACCCGAUACUGUCGUGACUAGAGUCCAGUAGGGGAGCGUGGAAUUCCUGGUGUAGCGGUGAAAUGCGUAGAUAUCAGGAGGAACACCGGUGGCGAAGGCGGCUCUCUGGUCCACAACUGACGCUGAGGUGCGAAAGCUAGGGGAGCAAACGGG